GACGAACGCUGGCGGCGUGCUUAACACAUGCAAGUCGAACGGAAAGGCCCCUUUGGGGGUACUCGAGUGGCGAACGGGUGCGUAACACGUGAGUAACCUGCCCUUGACUUCGGGAUAACUUCAGGAAACUGGGGCUAAUAACGGAUAGGAAUCCUUGCUGCAUGGUGGGGGUUGGAAAGCUUCGGCGGCGUUGGAUGGGCUCGCGGCUCAUCGGCUUGUUGGUGGGGUAGUGGCUUACCAGGGCUUCGACGGGUAGCCGGCCUGAGAGGGUGAGCGGCGGCAGUGGGACUGAGGGACGGCAGAGACGCCUACGGGAGGAAGAAGUGGGGAAGAUUGCACAAGGGGCGGAGGCCGGAUGAAGCAACGCCGCGGGCGGUAUGGCGGCUUUGGGGUGGAAAACCGGUUGCAGCAGGGGCGAAGCUUGUUGUGACGGUACCUGCAGAAGAAGCACCGGCUAACUACGUG
rnacentral:rRNA from 1 species